UACGGAGGGUGCAAGCGUUAUCCGGAUUCACUGGGUUUAAAGGGUGCGUAGGUGGGUCUGUAAGUCCGUGGUGAAAUCUCCGAGCUUAACUUGGAAACUGCCAUGGAUACUAUAGGUCUUGAAUACUGUGGAGGUCAGCGGAAUAUGUCAUGUAGCGGUGAAAUGCUUAGAUAUGACAUAGAGCACCAAUUGCGAAGGCAGCUGGCUACACAAAUAUUGACACUGAGGCACGAAAGCGUGGGGAUCAAACAGG
rnacentral:rRNA from 1 species